GCCGAACAUGCCAAGGUUGGAUAUGCUGUAAGAAGAUAAUGAGUGAGUGAGAGGGGUAGGGUGAGGACGUGUCGGCAUGAGCUCCUUGGAACAGCUGAGUCGACAAUGGCGGGCAGAACCAGUUGUGUCUGUGAUGAUUUUACAGGUGAUGUGCGACUCCAAUAAGAAAGAGAGAACCUACGUGAAUGUUCCACCCUGAAACUCAUCCAACUUCAGCUUGUUCUCCUUGGCGCGGGUGGCAAGAUCCCUCACAGCGGCAGCAAUGUCCUCCAGUCCUCUAGAGUCCGCCCCUCGCACAAUGGGGGUGAUGAGGCCCGCUGGGGUGGCCACGGCAACGCUGAUGUCCACCGCCCCACCAACCUUCAGCUGCAAGACGGCAAAGAGGCGGCAUGCCCACUCCUCCUGCCUCACCUGGUCUCCCUGCCACACACAGUUCAUCUCGGGACACCUGGAGAGCGCCAACGCCACGGCCUUGAUGAGCAGGUCGUUGACGCUCACAUUGACACCCUCCUCCUUAAACUGC